AUGCACGCUGGCGGCGUGCCUAAUACAUGCAAGUCGAGCGAACGGACGAGAAGCUUGCUUCUCUGAUGUUAGCGGCGGACGGGUGAGUAACACGUGGAUAACCUACCUAUAAGACUGGGAUAACUUCGGGAAACCGGAGCUAAUACCGGAUAAUAUUUUGAACCGCAUGGUUCAAAAGUGAAAGACGGUCUUGCUGUCACUUAUAGAUGGAUCCGCGCUGCAUUAGCUAGUUGGUAAGGUAACGGCUUACCAAGGCAACGAUGCAUAGCCGACCUGAGAGGGUGAUCGGCCACACUGGAACUGAGACACGGUCCAGACUCCUACGGGAGGCAGCAGUAGGGAAUCUUCCGCAAUGGGCGAAAGCCUGACGGAGCAACGCCGCGUGAGUGAUGAAGGUCUUCGGAUCGUAAAACUCUGUUAUUAGGGAAGAAUAUAUGUGUAAGUAACUGUGCACAUCUUGACGGUACCUAAUCAGAAAGCCACGGCUAACUACGUG
rnacentral:rRNA from 1 species